CUACGGGUGGCACCAGUAAGGAAUAUUGCGCAAUGGAGGCAACUCUGACGCAGCCAUGCCGCGUGCAGGAAGAAGGCCUUAUGGGUCGUAAACUGCUUUUAUUUAGGAAUAAACCCCCGAACGUGUUCGGGGCUGAAGGUACUAAACGAAUAAGCACCGGCUAACUCCGUGCCAGCAGCCGCGGUAAUACGGAGGGUGCAAGCGUUAUCCGGAUUUAUUGGGUUUAAAGGGUGCGCAGGCGGGCUAUUAGGUCAGUGGUGAAAUCCCGGGGCUCAACUCCGGAACUGCCAUUGAUACUGAUAGUCUUGAGUUUGGUUGAAGUGGGCGGAAUGUAGCAUGUAGCGGUGAAAUGCAUAGAUAUGCUACAGAACACCAAUCGCGAAGGCAGCUCACUAAGCCAAAACUGACGCUCAUGCACGAAAGCGUGGGGAUCAAACAGGAUUAGAUACCCUGGUAGUC
rnacentral:rRNA from 1 species